UACGUAGGUGACGAAGCGUUGUCCGGAUUUACUGGGCGUAAAGGAGCGCGCAGGCGGUCGAUCAAGUUCGAGUGUGAAAGCCCCCGGCUCAACUGGGGAGGGUCAUUCGAUACUUGAUCGACUCGAAGGCAGGAGAGGGUAGUGGAAUUCCCGGUGUAGUGGUGAAAUGCGUAGAUAAUCUGGAGGAACACCGGUGGCGAAGGCGGCGUCCUGGACCAACACUGACACUGAGGAGCGAAAGCCAGGGGAGCAAACGGG
rnacentral:rRNA from 1 species